rnacentral:rRNA from 1 species
AUUGAACGCUGGCGGCAGGCCUAACACAUGCCAGUCGAGCGGAUGAAGGGAGCUUGCUCCUGGAUUCAGCGGCGGACGGGUGAGUAAUGCCUAGGAAUCUGCCUGGUAGUGGGGGAUAACGUCCGUAAACGGGCGCUAAUACCGCAUACGUCCUGAGGGAGAAAGUGGGGGAUCUUCGGACCUCACGCUAUCAGAUGAGCCUAGGUCGGAUUAGCUAGUUGGUGGGGUAAAGGCCUACCAAGGCGACGAUCCGUAACUGGUCUGAGAGGAUGAUCAGUCACACUGGAACUGAGACACGGUCCAGACUCCUACGGGAGGCAGCGGUGGGGAAUAUUGGACAAUGGGCGAAAGCCUGAUCCAGCCAUGCCGCGUGUGUGAAGAAGGUCUUCGGAUUGUAAAGCACUUUAAGUUGGGAGGAAGGGCAGUAAGUUAAUACCUUGCUGUUUUGACGUUACCAACAGAAUAAGCACCGGCUAACUUCGUG